AUUGAACGCUGGCGGAAUGCUUUACACAUGCAAGUCGAACGGUAGAGGGGGCAACCCCUCGAGAGUGGCGAACGGGUGAGUAAUAUAUCGGAACGUGCCCAGUCGUGGGGGAUAACGUAGCGAAAGUUACGCUAAUACCGCAUACGAUCUAAGGAUGAAAGCGGGGGAUCGCAAGACCUCGCGCGAUUUGAGCGGCCGAUAGCAGAUUAGGUAGUUGGUGGGGUAAAGGCUCACCAAGCCAACGAUCUGUAGCUGGUCUGAGAGGACGACCAGCCACACUGGAACUGAGACACGGUCCAGACUCCUACGGGAGGAAGCAGUGGGGAAUUUUGGACAAGGGACGCAAGUCUGAUCCAGCCAUUCCGCGUGCAGGAUGAAGGCCCUCGGGUUGUAAACUGCUUUUGUACGGAACGAAAAGGUCUCUCUUAAUACGGGGGACUCAUGACGGUACCGUAAGAAUAAGCACCGGCUAACUACGUGCCAGCCGCCGCCGUAACAC
rnacentral:rRNA from 1 species